GUCGCUUGAUACAUGAAACUGCGC
rnacentral:snRNA from 1 species